ACAACAAUGUUAGCUUUAAAUAUUAUACUUAUAACAUUAACUAAAACAUUUUUAUAAAUUAGUAUAGGCGAUAGAAAAUAUCAUAUUAGCAAUACAAAAAGUACCGUAAGGGAAAACUGAAAAAGAAAUUAAACAAACCAUUAAAGUAUAAAAAAGCAAGAAUUAACACCUGUACCUUUUGCAUCAUGAUCUAGCCAGUCCACAAGGACAAAUAGACCUUAAGUCCUAAUUCCCGAAACUAGACGAGCUAUUUAAAAGCAGCUUUAUUAAGAGCUAAUCCGUCCCUGUUGCAAAAGUGUGGAAAGACUUUUAAAUAGCGGCGACAUACCUAUCGAGCCUAGUGAUAGCUGGUUGCUCAAUAAACGAGUUUUAGCUCCCCCUUAAACCUUAUUACAAUACACAACAAUAAUAAUAAAAAUCUAAGAGAAAUUCAAAAGAGGGACAGCCCUUUUGAAAAAGGAUACAACCUACAAUAAUGGGUAAUGAUUACACUAUCUAAAGGCUCAUAACCCUAGUAGGCCUAAAAGCAGCCAUCCAUAAAGAAAGCGUUACAGCUCAUACAUUACUAAAACCCAUUAAUACUAAUAUUUUUUUCAAAACCCUUAUUAAUCAAACUGAGCUCCACUAUAAACAUAUAGCCGAACUAAUACUAGAACUAGUAAUAAGAAACCCCAAUUUUCUCUCCGCACCCUCGUAAAUCAGAACGAAUUAAUCACUGAUAUUCACCAGUAAAUAAUAUAAAGUAAACUAGAAAUCACAUUAAACCACUGUUAACCCAACACAGGAGUGCAACAAGAAAGACUAAAAGAUAGAAAAGGAACUCGGCAACCUUUUAAAACUUCGCCUGUUUACCAAAAACAUCACCUCUAGCUAAACAACCAUGUAUUAGAGGCACUGCCUGCCCACUGAUAUUCUUUUAACGGCCGCGGUAUUCUGACCGUGCAAAGGUAGCAUAAUCACUUGUCUUUUAAAUAAAGACUAGUAUGAAUGGCAAGACGAAAGUUUAACUGUCUCCUUUAUCUAGUCAAUGAAACUGAUCUCCUGGUACAAAAGCCAGGAUAAUACAAUUAGACGAGAAGACCCUAUGGAACUUAAAACACGCCUCCACCCACACCAGUUAAAAUAUUUGAUACAUUGGACCGCUGUUUUUGGUUGGGGCAACCACGGAGAAAAAUAAUCCUCCUAGAAACUAAAAUUAAGUAAUACAAGACAAAAUACCAAUACCAUGAACAUGAUCCAUAUAUAUGAUCAACGAACCAAGCUACCCUAGGGAUAACAGCGCUAUCUUCUCCAAGAGUCCAUAUCCACGAGAAGGUUUACGACCUCGAUGUUGGAUCAGGAUACCCAGACGGCGCAGCCGCCGUCAAAGGUUUGUUUGUUCAACAAAUAAUAUCCUACGUGAUCUGAGUUCAGACCGGAGCAAUCCAGGUCAGUUUCUAUCUAUUAACAUUUUUCUUCAGUACGAAAGGACAAAGAAAACAGGACCAAUACCAAACGCACGUCCUACAAUUAAUUAUGAAAUCAACUAAAUAAUUAUUGUACAUAUUCUCCUCUAGAAAUAGAGAUA
rnacentral:rRNA from 1 species